rnacentral:rRNA from 1 species
GGGGAAUAUUGGACAAUGGGCGCAAGCCUGAUCCAGCAAUGCCGCGUGAGUGAUGAAGGCCUUAGGGUUGUAAAGCUCUUUUACCCGGGAUGAUAAUGACAGUACCGGGAGAAUAAGCUCCGGCUAACUCCGUGCCAGCAGCCGCGGUAAUACGGAGGGAGCUAGCGUUGUUCGGAAUUACUGGGCGUAAAGCGCACGUAGGCGGCUUUGUAAGUUAGAGGUGAAAGCCUGGAGCUCAACUCCAGAAUUGCCUUUGAUACUGCAUGGCUUGAAUCCAGGAGAGGUGAGUGGAAUUCCGAGUGUAGAGGUGAAAUUCGUAGAUAUUCGGAAGAACACCAGUGGCGAAGGCGGCUCACUGGACUGGUAUUGACGCUGAGGUGCGAAAGCGUGGGGAGCAAAC